AAAGAAUUAGUUAAUAAAUAACAUAAAUAUGUCAAAUUUAAAUUAUUACCAAAGUAAUAUUCUUUU
rnacentral:tRNA from 2 species